UCCCUGGUGGUCCAGUGGUUAAGAUUCUGAGCUCCCAACGCAUGAGGCCCAGGUUUGAUCCCUGGUCAGGGAA
rnacentral:tRNA from 1 species